AACUGAAGCCGAGUUAAGGGUCGUAUCUGCUCUGUAGUGUGGAGGCCAGCACCGGGCUAGCAGCCUGGAGGGAGUGAGCCCACCGAAUACGCAGAGCCCAGAGUCACUGUCCAUGUUUCUAGAGAACAAUGUGAAGAGUCCUAGAAAAGGAACUCACCAGACUGUCAGGGGCCGAUGUAGCCAAAAUGUCACUGAAUAGAAAAAAAAUCUUGUCUUCAGUCCUCAUGCUUUGUCACUGUAAAGCGAACGAAAAGCAUUUUUACUAUAAUUUAAAGGAGCUGCUUUUUUUUAUAGCACAUACUAUUUCGCUUUGUACUCUCUUUGAUAGUUGCAGAAUAAUUUAGACUGUAGAAAAAACUUUGUUGUAUUUGUACUGUUCAUGAAUGUUUCAAAGAAAGUGCUUUACUUGGUUGCCAUAAUUUUUCUUGUACUGCUGUAUUUUUCCCCCUGGCUUCAUGGAAACCUAAUCUGACUCAUAUUUUCAGUA
rnacentral:lncRNA from 1 species